AUUUACGGUGGCAAGUGUCGCUUGACAAAUUGAUUUUGAUUUGUUUGGUCGUUUUUUCACCUUUUUGUUUUGUUUCUGUUUUUUAGUUUUGCAUUGAAAGCAGGCCGGCAAUGUGAAGUUUUUUAGGGGCUUGGCAACCUUGAAUGCACAUUUUGCCCAGGGAAAUGACUAAAAGUUGAAAACCCAUUAAACUGCUUCAGUUCCCAGCUGAACAGGAAAAGGAGUCAACAGCAAUAUCCAUCCAAUUACCGCUUCCUUUGGUGAACAUUCAAAUUGGAAAUCAAACAGCAACAGUUGAAUGCACUUUGGCGGGGGUGGCUGGGCUGUGGGUUUUAUUUUUGUUGCGUCGGAGGGGAGGAAGGGCGGCCGGGGCAGGGUGCGGGGCUAACUGUUCAUUACACGCUCGUUGGCAUCCUGUUUCAUGCAACAGCAAGCAACAGGAUGCCGCACAAACAAUCUAAAUUCCGAGGGUAGUUGCUCAGACAUGCACUUUCAAAAAUGAUGAUAAAUUGGAUCCUUACAAGGAAUACCUUAAUGUUAUUAGUACAGGACAUGUAACCUAUUGAUUCAAAAUUAUAAAAAAGACUUUUACUCCCGUACUACCCAUAGGACCCAACAUAAGGACUCUUCCUCCAAAACAUUUCCUUCGAAAGAAACACAUAUUUCUCCAUGUGCAGCCAGCCCUGAUUGCCCCUUGAAAAGCCAAGCAAAGUCAGUUCCAAGUGAAUGCCAAACAAAGCCCGUCCAUCCAACACCACCGAUCCAUCCAUCCAUCCACUCCGGCGAUCGUACAAAGGGACUCAGAAUACAAAGAACUAACGCGCUCUGGAAAAAAAAUGAUCAGGAGCCGGAGAAGGAGAAGGAGAAGGAGCAAGAGGGUCACGAACAGAAGACUCCGAACAAAGGAGGAUCGUUCUUUUUUGUCUUUUUCCUGAGCUCAGUCGUGCGUCAAAAAAAUCCUUAAGCCAAUGGAAACGAAUAAGAAAUUCAACGGCCGAGCACCUGAUGAUGAUUCUGACUCUGACUUUGACGACGACACCUGAACCCUCCUGAGCCCGGUGAAUAAAUAUUAAGGAAUGAUAAUUAGGAGGUCUAGCAACCCUCCGCCAGACGAACGUUACAAUCGCGCACAGUGUGAAGUGAUCGUUUGGCUAUCUAAAUGUUGUCAUCCAAGGGUGGCUUCCUUACUGGACGCACUCCACCUCCCUCAACCUGUCGCUGAAGACGAACCUGCUAGGAUAUUCAUGAGUCUACCCCCGGACUCGCUUGAGGAGAUCGCAACCGUUGCAGCAAGUUGCCGAAGAUGCGCCGCGCCCUAAUUAGUGGCAGUCAUCUUCUCGUACACCAGCCGCGACUGCAGCCUUAAAGAAAGCAAUUCUCGAAAGGGGAAAGGAAGCAAGCACUUGACUUCAAGGACCACAUUAUAAUGGAAAACGAGUCGUUGGAGGGGCUGAAAGGGGAGUCCCUCAGCCGGAUGGUGGAAUCAAAUGAGAUCAGAAGAGAAAGCAACGGAAAGGAAGUUCUGGAGGGGACUUUACACUGAGGAAAGAGUGUUUCUAAAGCAGGAGU